rnacentral:rRNA from 1 species
AUUGAACGCUGGCGGCAGGCUUAACACAUGCAAGUCGAGCGGAGAUGAGGUGCUUGCACCUUAUCUUAGCGGCGGACGGGUGAGUAAUGCUUAGGAAUCUGCCUAUUAGUGGGGGACAACAUUCCGAAAGGAAUGCCAAUACCGCAUACGCGCUACGGGGGAAAGCAGGGGAUCUUCGGACCUUGCGCUAAUAGAUGAGCCUAAGUCGGAUUAGCUAGUUGGUGGGGUAAAGGCCUACCAAGGCGACGAUCUGUAGCGGGUCUGAGAGGAUGAUCCGCCACACUGGGACUGAGACACGGCCCAGACUCCUACGGGAGGCAGCAGUGGGGAAUAUUGGACAAUGGGCGCAAGCCUGAUCCAGCCAUGCCGCGUGUGUGAAGAAGGCCUUAUGGUUGUAAAGCACUUUAAGCGAGGAGGAGGCUACUUUAGUUAAUACCUAGAGAUAGUGGACGUUACUCGCAGAAUAAGCACCGGCUAACUCUGUGCCAGCCGCCGCGGUAAUAC